GACGAACGCUGGCGGCGGGCCUAACACAUGCAAGUCGAACGAAGUCUUCGGACUUAGUGGCGCACGGCUGAGUAACACGUGGGAAUAUACCUUACGCUAGGGUAUCACAUCGGGUAACUUAUGCUAAUACCACAUACGCUCUUCGCGGGUAAGAUCUAUGGGCGCAGGAUUAGCGCUCGUCCGAUUCGCUGGUUGGUGAUGGAAUAGCUCACCAUGGCUUCGUUCGGUAGCUGGUCGGAGAGGAUGACCCUCCGGACUUGGACUGCGACACGGCCCAGACUCGUACGGGAGGGUGCAGUGUGGAACAUUAGGCGAUGGGGGCAAGUCUGAUCCAGCCACGCCGGGGAAGAGAGGAAUGGGGUAGGGUUGCAAAGUUCUCUGUCACACGACGAGGAUGACGGUAGUGGGUGAAGAAGCCCCGGCUAACUUCGUG
rnacentral:rRNA from 1 species